rnacentral:lncRNA from 1 species
GAUGCGUUAGCUUGCCUUCCUCAUCGUACGUGGCCGCAAGCCCGAGCUUGGCGGUCCGGACUCCGCAUUACUUCGGGGAUGUCGCUGUCUUCCUGACCUGUGUCGGGAGUCUUUUUAGAGGCCGGAGGUGUUUGGUAGGAACUCUCCGUCUCCAUUGGGAUGAAAUCCUUUAGGUCUUUGGUGCGGUUUGUCCUUCAUC